UUCCAGGGCAGCUCAGUAGAGGAUACCUGGAGCGCACUGGCUAGCAGCCUUCGCAGGACCUGGUCCCGGCCGUAGCAGAGGAAGCUGUUGGAAGAUGCCAGCACCCAGCUUGCCAGAGCCACUUUCCCCGCACCUGCCCCCGGGGCCUGCAUUCCAGCAAGGGGAGCCUGCUGGGGUCCCUGGAACUCCAGGAGCAGAGCCGCCAUCGCCCGCCCCGCCCCGCCCCAGCCGGGGGCCUCCCCUGGCAACAGCGCCUUCAUCCUGCAUCUGCAUUCCCGUCGCCUGGCGCCCAAGCACCCGCGGUCCCCCCCGGGCACCAGACUGGCCCUCAGCACAGUAGAGGGUUAACGGAGCCCAGGCUCCCGGAGGUCCAGGCUGGCGGGGGCGGGUGGGG